rnacentral:rRNA from 1 species
CUUAGUAACGGCGAGUGAAGCGGCAAAAGCUCAAAUUUGAAAUCUGGUACCUUCGGUGCCCGAGUUGUAAUUUGGAGAGGGCAACUUUGGGGCCGUUCCUUGUCUAUGUUCCUUGGAACAGGACGUCAUAGAGGGUGAGAAUCCCGUGUGGCGAGGAGUGCGGUUCUUUGUAAAGUGCCUUCGAAGAGUCGAGUUGUUUGGGAAUGCAGCUCUAAGUGGGUGGUAAAUUCCAUCUAAAGCUAAAUAUUGGCGAGAGACCGAUAGCGAACAAGUACAGUGAUGGAAAGAUGAAAAGAACUUUGAAAAGAGAGUGAAAAAGUACGUGAAAUUGUUGAAAGGGAAGGGCAUUUGAUCAGACAUGGUGUUUUGUGCCCUCUGCUCCUUGUGGGUAGGGGAAUCUCGCAUUUCACUGGGCCAGCAUCAGUUUUGGUGGCAGGAUAAAUCCAUAGGAAUGUAGCUUGCCUCGGUAAGUAUUAUAGCCUGUGGGAAUACUGCCAGCUGGGACUGAGGACUGCGACGUAAGUCAAGGAUGCUGGCAUAAUGGUUAUAUGCCGCCCGUCUUGAAACCCGACACACA